rnacentral:rRNA from 1 species
AGAGUUUGAUCCUGGCUCAGAUUGAACGCUGGCGGCGUGCCUAACACAUGCAAGUCGAGCGGUAACAGGUGUAGCAAUACAUGCUGACGAGCGGCGAACGGGUGAGUAAUGCUUUGGAAUCUUCCCAGUAGUGGGGAAUAACCAGUCGAAGGAUUGGCUAAUACCGCAUACGUCUGUAAAGGGAAAGCGGGGGCUCGUAAGACCUCGCGCUAUUGGAUGAGCCAAAGUCGGAUUAGCUAGUUGGUGGGGUAAUGGCCUACCAAGGCGACAAUCCGUAGCUGGUCUGAGAGGACGACCAGCCACACCGGAACUGAGACACGGUCCGGACUCCUACGGGAGGCAGCAGUGGGGAAUAUUGGACAAUGGGGGAAACCCUGAUCCAGCGACGCCGCGUGUGUGAAGAAGGCCUGCGGGUUGUAAAGCACUUUUAGUGGGGACAAAAAGCUACGGAUUAAUACUCUGUGGUCUUGAUUUAACCCAAAGAAAAAGCACCGGCUAACUCUGUGCCAGCAGCCGCGGUAAUACAGAGGGUGCGAGCGUUAAUCGGAAUUACUGGGCGUAAAGCGCGCGUAGACGGUUUUGUAAGUCAGAUGUGAAAUCCCUGGGCUCAACCUGGGAACUGCAUUUGAGACUGCAUGGCUAGAGUAUCGAAGAGGGAAGUGGAAUUUCCGGUGUAGCGGGAAAUGCGUAGAUAUCGGAAGGAACACCAGUGGCGAAAGCGACUUCCUGGUCGAAUACUGGCGUUCAUGUGCGAAAGCGUGGGGAGCAAACAGGAUUAGAUACCCUAGUAGUCC